rnacentral:rRNA from 1 species
UACGUAGGGUGCGAGCGUUAAUCGGAAUUACUGGGCGUAAAGCGUGCGCAGGCGGCUCGUUAAGACAGGUGUGAAAGCCCCGAGCUUAACUUGGGAAUUGCGCUUGUGACUGGCGAGCUGGAGUGUGGCAGAGGGAGGUGGAAUUCCGCGUGUAGCAGUGAAAUGCGUAGAGAUGUGGAGGAACACCGAUGGCGAAGGCAGGCUUCUGGGCCAGCACUGACGCUCAUGCACGAAAGCGUGGGGAGCAAACAGG